rnacentral:rRNA from 1 species
UACGGAGGGUGCAAGCGUUGUCCGGAAUCAUUGGGCGUAAAGGGCGCGUAGGCGGCUUAUUAAGCGUGCGGUGAAAGCCUGGGGCUCAACCCCGGGUCGGCCGUGCGAACUGGGGGGCUGGAGCACUGUAGAGGCGGGCGGAAUUCCGGGUGUAGCGGUGGAAUGCGUAGAGAUCCGGAAGAACACCGGUGGCGAAGGCGGUCCGCUGGGGUGAGGCUGACGCUGAGGCGCGACAGCGUGGGGAGCAAACAGG